rnacentral:rRNA from 1 species
UACGGAGGGUGCAAGCGUUGCUCGGAAUUAUUGGGCGUAAAGGGUAGGUAGGUGGUCUCAUUUGUCUGGGGUGAAAGCCUUGAGCUUAACUCAAGAAGUGCCCCAGAAACGGUGAGACUAGAGUCCUGGAGAGGGUCGUGGAAUUCCCGGUGUAGCGGUGAAAUGCGUAGAGAUGUGGAGGAACACCGAUGGCGAAGGCAGCCUCCUGGGCCAACACUGACGCUCAUGCACGAAAGCGUGGGGAGCAAACAGG